UCUAGAGAUCUCUUCAUAUUUUAUCAGCCAAAACGCCAUAGAAGGUCUGGAGAAAGCUGGUUUUUAAUAUUUUACAUCAUAUCAAGAAAACAAACUGAAUCGUGGAAAGGAGAAAAUUCAAGAAUAGUCCCUGAAUUUCUAUGACUUUUGCAAAUUAGUCCAGAUUGAAUUAAAGAGAAGUUGGUAAAUCGGAUCAACACAACAGGGCACACUAUUCAGAUCAAUUCCGGUAGUUUUUGUUUUAUGUUUAAAGAUUUAUAUGGCAUGUAUAGAGUUUGAAUGAAUUGAAGUAAAGAUAUUAUAAACUAGUUAACAAUAUUUGUACUAAAACAGUUUUUGGUAAGUAGCAGUAGUUUGACUUUGAAAAUUCACUUUAAAUUGUGGAAAUUGAGUUAAGGGCUGAGAAAAAAAUGAGAUUAAAGCCUAAUGAGUCUAGUUUCAUAUAGAGGAAACAGUGUAUGCAAUUGGAUUUUAUGCUAUG